CCAACAGGGAUUGCCCCAGUAACGGCGAAGUGAAGCGGCAAGAGCUCAAAUUUGAAAGCUGGCUCCUUCGGGGUCCGCAUUGUAAUUUGUAGAGGAUGCUUCGGGAGCGGUCCCCAUCUAAGUGCCCUGGAACGGGACGUCAUAGAGGGUGAGAAUCCCGUAUGGGAUGGGGUGUCCGCGCCCGUGUGAAGCUCCUUCGACGAGUCGAGUUGUUUGGGAAUGCAGCUCUAAAUGGGUGGUAAAUUUCAUCUAAAGCUAAAUAUUGGCCGGAGACCGAUAGCGCACAAGUAGAGUGAUCGAAAGAUGAAAAGCACUUUGAAAAGAGAGUUAAAAAGCACGUGAAAUUGUUGAAAGGGAAGCGCUUGCGACCAGACUCGCUCGCGGGGUUCAGCCGGCAUUCGUGCCGGUGUACUUCCCCGCGGGCGGGCCAGCGUCGGUUUGGGCGGUCGGUCAAAGGCCCUCGGAAGGUAACGCCCCUAGGGGCGUCUUAUAGCCGAGGGUGCAAUGCGACCUGCCUAGACCGAGGAACGCGCUUCGGCUCGGACGCUGGCAUAAUGGUCGUAAACGACCCGUCUUGAAACACGGACCAAGGAGUCUAACAUCUACGCGAGUGUUCGGGUGUCAAACCCGUGCGCGAAGUGAAAGCGAACGGAGGUGGGAACCCUCACGGGUGCACCAUCGACCGAUCCUGAAGUCUUCGGAUGGAUUUGAGUAAGAGCGUAGCUGUUGGGACCCGAAAGAUGGUGAACUAUGCCUGAAUAGGGCGAAGCCAGAGGAAACUCUGGUGGAGGCUCGUAGCGGUUCUGACGUGCAAAUCGAUUCGUCGAAAUUUGGGGUAUAGGGGCGAAAGACUAAUCGAACCAUCUGGUAGCUGGUUCCUGCG
rnacentral:rRNA from 1 species